rnacentral:tRNA from 1 species
GAGGGUAUAGCUUUGUGGUAGAGCACAUGCUUAGCAUGCAUGAGGUCCUGGGUUCAAUCCCCAGUGCCUCCA